GCUAGAAUGUGGACAUUUUGCCAGAGUUGGAGCAGACGUUUCGGAUCGUGAAGUGGGAAUAAUCUUGAUAAGUGGGAUAUUGGAGUAGUACCUGAAAACUAUCAUUGCAAGUAUCUGAAUUUAAGAAGAAGAAUCACGGGAGUAGUCACACUAGGGUGAAAUCUUUGAUCCCAGAGCUAUAGCCACCUGGACCCCAACGUAGCAGCUUCCUUGAAUCAAUGGGGAUUGAGGAAGAGCUGUUUCCAAGAUGGCAACACAAAAGGUAACGUGACAACCUGAAGGGCAAGGAAAUAUACAUUCCCUCGAGAACAACCAGAAUGGGAUUCUUGAAUGCCACCAGGACUUUUUCUCCAGCUUUUUCAGUUCUGGAGGCCAGAAGUCUGAGAUCAAUGUGUUGGCAGGGCCAUGCUCCCUCUGAAGGCACUGGGGAAGGAUCUAUUUCUGGCCUGUCUCUCUGAGCUUCUGAUAGUUCCUUGGCUUGUUGCAACAUAAAUAACUCCAUUCCUCACAUGAUUCUGAAGGUGAGAAAUUCAGAAAAGAAACAGUCCUGAUGACUUAUCUCUGUCUCCUGAUAUCUGGGAACUCAUCAGGAAAUACUGGAAGGCUGCAGUUGAUUCAUCAGCUAGGGACUGGAUUCAACUAAAGGCUCAUUCACCCACAUGUCUAGAGCUUUGGUUGAAGUGACUCAAUGCCUAGGAUGACUAACAGGGCUUGCAGACCUGCACCUGGCCUCUUCUGUGGUUUGACUUUCUCACAACCUGGGAACCUCAUGGGAGGUAGAUAUCAUCCAUGGCAGCUCAGAGUUCCAAGCAUGAGUAUUCCGGGAACAGGUAGAAGUUGCAUGGCCUUUUAUGACCCAGUCUCAGAGUCACACAGCAUGACUUCUUCCAGACUUGACUGGUUGAACUUAGAAUUCACUUCUUUGUGGGAAAAUGUUAAAAUCACUUGAAAUACAUCUUGUAUAAUUGAAUAUAAAGUUGUGACCACCUUUGGAAAAUAUAUUCUGCCAGAUCUCCCUUCUUUCCUAAGUCUGAAGGAGUCAAAAAAGCUGUGAAUAGGGGAAGAAGAGAAAUAUUCAUCAUGCCCUUUUUUCCUUCCCAUUUCAGCUUUCUCAGCCUGGAGAGGUGAUGGGAGUAGGAAAGAAGAUUUAAAGUCAAUGAAAUCUGAAGUUCAGACAUCACACAUAUUAGAUUGGAUGUAUAGAAACUUGAAAAGAGAUAGUUCAUUAACUGAUGGUGAUCAGACAAAUUUUAAGAAUGCCUGAAAUUUUAUCCAAGGCAUGAGUGUUUGCUGUGGAGUGAACAAAUAGAAUUAUUUUCUACCUACACCCUACCAUGCCCAAUUCUCUCCACAUGGGUGUAGGUGGUCUGUGUGCAUUUGCAAUAUGCCGUAAGUGUGCAUGACAAAUAAGUCACUUUAUGGGGUUUGCCAGAAUAUUGCCCUGGUAGGGAAUCAAUUUUAGCCACUUAAAUUCAAUCAGGAAGAGCUCAGAAAUUAGUUCUGAGAGAAAAUAAACAAAAUAUAAUCUUAAACAUGGGUUUUUUAUUUGCUUUUAGAAAAUUCUUUGGCUUAUUCAUGACAUUGGUUUUCCCUAACUCUUUUUAUUUUUUCUUUCAGGAAGUCUUAAGAUUAUUUUUAUUCCAAUUUUUAAUUUUGAAAAAUUUAAAUAUAUUGAAGCAUGGAAAGAAUAUCCUAUGAAUAUGCAUAUGCGCUAUAUUUGAUGCAACAAUUGUCAAACUACUGCAAAUAUUUUAUAUCUAUAUCCAUUGCAUUACAUAUUUUUAUCUACAUCAAUUUGGCUGAAUAAUUUGGAUGAUGUUAUGAUGCACCUCUUCAACAUGAAUUUCCUAAGAACGAGGCCAUUCUCCCAGUUUACCACAACACCAUUAAGGCACUGAGGAAAGUAAUAUUAUUGAUAUAAUAGUAUUAUCUGAUAUGCAUUACAUAUUCAAAGUUGCUCAAUUUGUCCCUAUAACAUCCAUUAUGUUUUUCCCAUUUGAAAAUCCAAUCAAGGACUACGUAUUGCAUUGGUAGUUAUAUUUCUUGUUGUCUUUUACUCUCUAGUAGUUUCUUCCUCUUAACUGAAAAAUUUUAAAAGUUCCAGCCAGUUAUUUUGUAGAAUGACCCUCAAUUGAAUUUGCUUGAUUCUUUCCUCAUGAAUAGAUUCAGAUUAAAUAUUUUUAACACAAUAUUUUAUAGGUGAUGUUGGUGCUUCUCAGUGCAUCGCAUCAGGAGGCAAGUAUUGUUUGUUUCUUAUGUUAUUGGUGAUAUUAGAUUUGAUCACUUGGUUAAUGUAAAGUAUGCUAGAUUCUUUACUAAAAAGGUAACUUUGUGGCUCGGUCCUUAAUAAGUACAGUAAGUAACACUUUGAGAAUGUGUAAAAGUUACACUUUGAGAAUAUAUAAAUAUUCUGUACUCUAGCAAGUUUUUCCCCAAAGGUUUCAGCACCCAUUCAUGAUCUUUGCCUAAAUCAAUUAUAAAAUUUGUGACUGCAAAAUGGUGAUUAUUUUUCUAAUUCUACAUUUCUAUUAGAUAUAUCAACACUCAUACUUCAAUAAAGAAUAUUCCC
rnacentral:lncRNA from 10 species